UCCUACGGGAGGCAGCAGUGAGGAAUAUUGGACAAUGGGCGAGAGCCUGAUCCAGCCAUGCCGCGUGCAGGAAGACGGCCCUAUGGGUUGUAAACUGCUUUUACAGAGGAAGAACCCUCCUUACGUGUAAGGAGCUGACGGUACUCUAUGAAUAAGGAUCGGCUAACUCCGUGCCAGCAGCCGCGGUAAU
rnacentral:rRNA from 1 species